rnacentral:tRNA from 1 species
CGCGGGGUGGAGCAGCCUGGUAGCUCGUCGGGCUCAUAACCCGAAGGUCGUCGGUUCUCAUAACCCGAAGGUCGUCGGUUCAAAUCCGGCCCCCGCAACCA